rnacentral:rRNA from 1 species
GAUGAACGCUGGCGGCGUGCCUAAUACAUGCAAGUCGAGCGAACAGACGAGGAGCUUGCUCCUCUGACGUUAGCGGCGGACGGGUGAGUAACACGUGGAUAACCUACCUAUAAGACUGGGAUAACUUCGGGAAACCGGAGCUAAUACCGGAUAAUAUAUUGAACCGCAUGGUUCAAUAGUGAAAGACGGUUUUGCUGUCACUUAUAGAUGGAUCCGCGCCGCAUUAGCUAGUUGGUAAGGUAACGGCUUACCAAGGCAACGAUGCGUAGCCGACCUGAGAGGGUGAUCGGCCACACGGGAACUGAGACGCGGUCCAGACUCCUACGGGAGGCAGCAGUAGGGAAUCUUCCGCAAUGGGCGAAAGCUUGACGGAGCAACGCCGCGUGAGUGAUGAAGGUCUUCGGAUCGUAAAACUCUGUUAUUAGGGAAGAACAAAUGUGUAAGUAACUACGCACGUCUUGACGGUACCUAAUCAGAAAGCCACGGCUAACUACGUG